GACGAACGCUGGCGGCGUGCUUAACACAUGCAAGUCGAACGGAAAGGCCCUGCUUUUGUGGGGUGCUCGAGUGGCGAACGGGUGAGUAACACGUGAGUAACCUGCCCUUGACUUUGGGAUAACUUCAGGAAACUGGGGCUAAUACCGGAUAGGAGCUCCUGCUGCAUGGUGGGGGUUGGAAAGUUUCGGCGGUUGGGGAUGGACUCGCGGCUUAUCAGCUUGUUGGUGGGGUAGUGGCUUACCAAGGCUUUGACGGGUAGCAGGCCUGAGAGGGUGACCGGCGACAUUGGGACUGAGAUACGGCCCAGACUCCUACGGGAGGCAGCAGUGGGGAAUAUUGCACAAUGGGCGGAAGCCUGAUGCAGCAACGCCGCGUGCGGGAUGGCGGCCUUCGGGUUGUAAACCGCUUUCGCCUGUGACGAAGCGUGAGUGACGGUAAUGGGUAAAGAAGAACCGGCUAACUACGUG
rnacentral:rRNA from 1 species